UCAUACCACUAGACCAAAUGCCCAUUGAUAAUCCUCGCUAACAUUAAAUCUAUAUAGAAAAUAAAAUCCUCGCAUUCUAUCAAAGAGUUUUAUACUACUGAAAUCGGAAGCAUAAUUUCUAGCCCGAGGAGAAAAAUGGCGAGAGCUGCGAUGUUCCGUUUGCUUAGAUCUCAGUCUAAAACCGUCUAUUCAGGCAACCACCUCCCUAGGGUUGGUCCGUGGGCCGAUACACUAUGUUCCAAAACCAAUGCCAACUCUGCAGUGCAGUUUUCUUCCGUACAGAGACGAUUUAUAUCUCGAUCAGCUGCAGUAGCAGACAGGAACAAGAUUAGUAUCGGGCAUGAAAACAGGGGAGAAGAGGGAAGUAAUAUCAAGAACUAUGAGGUUGUUUACAACGGUCCUAUAUCAAAUACAAUCAAGAAAGUGAAGCUCCUCUCACUCUCAACCUGCUGCCUCUCUGUGUCACUAGGCCCCAUUGUCACGUUAAUGACAUCUCAAGCCUCGAAUGUGAUUCUAAAGGGUGCAGUUGCAUCUUCGGUCAUAUUCUUAAGUGCUUCAACCACUGGUGCCCUUCACUGGUUUGUGAGCCCUUAUGUCCACAGACUCAGAUGGCAGCCUGGCUCUGACAGCUUUGAGGUCGACAUGAUGUCGUGGCUGGGCACAUAUUUAACAAGGACCAUCAUGUUUGCAGAUAUCCGACCUGCAGAGACCCAGAGGCCAUAUGUAUCAUUCAAGGCUAAUGGCAAUUUCUACUACAUCGAUGAAGAGCAUUGUGAUAACAAGGCAUUGCUAGCAAGGUUGAACCCUCAUGACCGGUCUCGUGAUACUGCUUUCAAGAACUUGUGAGGUUCCUUAUUUACAGCUGAAGCUCUCCUCCUUUCUCCGCAUGAACUCAUGCAAAACUCUCCCGUGAAGUUUCAGCCUUCAGGCAUGAAAUAAGGUUAUCCCGUGUGGAAGGAUUGGGACUACUGUUUUCUUCUAUGGCAAAAGUAAUAGCUAUAGAAAUGUGAACGAAGCUCGGUUGUGUCUCUAAACCAUGUUCUUUGCACGUCAUGUGUGUAUCUAACUCGACCCCUUGCUCUCCACAUGGCAUGCGCGUAUACUUAACUCGACCCCAUAUUCUUUGCACGCCGUGUGUUUAUUAUCAUCUUAUUUGAUUAUAACUUAUAAGGUUGAAUUGACUUGAGAGAUGUUGAUAUAGGAGCAGUGAGUUUUUUACUCUAUUUUUCCAGAAGAAAUUGUAUAGUUUGAAAAAUAUUUUCUAGUCGUUUGUUUGAUAGAGAGAAUUCGUUGUGUAGCUAUACAUCAAAUCAAUUUGACUAAUCUGUUUUAUUUUCCUUAAACUCCACCAAAUGCUUGAUCUUGGUAAAGUUUAUCUUGC